rnacentral:rRNA from 1 species
UUAGAGUUUGAUCCUGGCUCAGGACGAACGCUGGCGGCGUGCUUAACACAUGCAAGUCGAACGGAAAGGCCCUGCUUUUGUGGGGUGCUCGAGUGGCGAACGGGUGAGUAACACGUGAGUUACCUGCCCUUGACUUUGGGAUAACUUCAGGAAACUGGGGCUAAUACCGGAUAGGAGCUCCUGCUGCAUGGUGGGGGUUGGAAAGUUUCGGCGGUUGGGGAUGGACUCGCGGCUUAUCAGCUUGUUGGUGGGGUAGUGGCUUACCAAGGCUUUGACGGGUAGCCGGCCUGAGAGGGUGACCGGCCACAUUGGGACUGAGAUACGGCCCAGACUCCUACGGGAGGCAGCAGUGGGGAAUAUUGCACAAUGGGCGGAAGCCUGAUGCAGCAACGCCGCAUGCGGGAUGACGGCCUUCGGGUUGUAAACCGCUUUCGCCUGUGACGAAGCGUGAGUUACGGUAAUGGGUAAAGAAGCACCGGCUAACUACGUGCCAGCAGCCGCGGUGAUACGUAGGGUGCGAGCGUUGUCCGGAUUUAUUGGGCGUAAAGGGCUCGUAGGUGGUUGAUCGCGUCGGAAGUGUAAUCUUGGGGCUUAACCCUGAGCGUGCUUUCGAUACGGGUUGACUUGAGGAAGGUAGGGGAGAAUGGAAUUCCUGGUGGAGCGGUGGAAUGCGCAGAUAUCAGGAGGAACACCAGUGGCGAAGGCGGUUCUCUGGGCCUUUCCUGACGCUGAGGAGCGAAAGCGUGGGGGAGCGAACAGGCUUAGAUACCCUGGUAGUCCACGCUGUAAACGGUGGGUACUAGGUGUGGGGUCCAUUCCACGGGUUCCGCGCCGUAGCUAACGCUUUAAGUACCCCGCCUGGGGAGUACGGCCGCAAGGCUAAAACUCAAAGGAAUUGACGGGGCCCCGCACAAGCGGCGGAGCAUGCGGAUUAAUUCGAUGCAACGCGUAGAACCUUACCUGGGUUUGACAUGGAUCGGGAGUGCUCAGAGAUGGGUGUGCCUCUUUUGGGGUCGGUUCACAGGUGGUGCAUGGCUGUCGUCAGCUCGUGUCGUGAGAUGUUGGGUUAAGUCCCGCAACGAGCGCAACCCUUGUUCACUGUUGCCAGCACGUUAUGGUGGGGACUCAGUGGAGACCGCCGGGGUCAACUCGGAGGAAGGUGGGGAUGACGUCAAGUCAUCAUGCCCCUUAUGUCCAGGGCUUCACGCAUGCUACAAUGGCUGGUACAGAGAGUGGCGAGCCUGUGAGGGUGAGCGAAUCUCGGAAAGCCGGUCUCAGUUCGGAUUGGGGUCUGCAACUCGACCUCAUGAAGUCGGAGUCGCUAGUAAUCGCAGAUCAGCAACGCUGCGGUGAAUACGUUCCCGGGGCUUGUACACACCGCCCGUCA